UUGACCUCAAAUCAGGUAGGACUACCCGCUGAACUUAAGCAUAUCAAUAAGCGGAGGAAAAGAAACUAACAAGGAUUCCCCUAGUAACUGCGAGUGAAGCGGGAAAAGCUCAAAUUUAAAAUCUGGCAGUCUUUGGCUGUCCGAGUUGUAAUCUAGAGAAGUGUUGCCCACGCUGGACCGUGUAUAAGUCUUCUGGAAUGAAGCAUCAUAGAGGGUGAGAAUCCCGUCUUUGACAUGGACUCCCAGUGUAUUGUGGCGUGCUCUCAAAGAGUCGAGUUGUUUGGGAAUGCAGCUCUAAAUGGGUGGUAACCUCCAUCUAAAGCUA
rnacentral:rRNA from 1 species